CGGCGAGUGAAGCGGGAAGAGCUCAAAUUUGUAAUCUGGCACUUUCAGUGUCCGAGUUGUAAUCUCGAGAAGUAUUUUCCGCGCCGGACCGCAUACAAGUCUGUUGGAAUACAGCGUCAUAGUGGUGAGAACCCCGUAACUGAUGCGGAUGCCCGGUGCUUUGUGAUAUACUUUCGAAGAGUCGAGUUGUUUGGGAAUGCAGCUCAAAUUGGGUGGUAAAUUCCAUCUAAAGCUAAAUAUUGGAGCAAGACCGAUAGCGAACAAGUACCGUGAGGGAAAGAUGAAAAGCACUUUGGAAAGAGAGUUAACAGUACGUGAAAUUGUUGGAAGGGAAACGCUUGAAGUCAGACUUGCUAUUCGGAGUUCAGCCGCAAGGUGUAUUCUUCGAUUUGCAGGCCAGCAUCAGUUUUUGGGGGUGGAAAAUCGUGGUUUGAAGGUAGCAGUUUCGGCUGUGUUAUAGCUUUCCACUGGAUUCAUCUUCGGGGACUGAGGAACGCAGUACGCUUUUUGCAAGGCUCUCGAGCUUUU
rnacentral:rRNA from 1 species